GGACCUCUCUCAGCGGCCCCUGAGUGUGGAAGCAUCUCUCACGAACUCCCACGCACGAGUGUCCCAGCAGAAGAGGGUGACAAGAUGGGCGCUGGGGGUCCUUGAGCUCUUAUCACCUGGCCGAGGCAGACAGAACCCAGAUGCCGGGGACAGAGCACUGCUGGGGAGAAGGAAGCGGGCACAGACUGCCCAGAGGCCUCCCGCCCCAAAGCCCCCAAAAGCAGGCCACCCACCGACUCAUGGCGCAACUCCCAGGAGGCUCUGGGACAGCUGUUUCCAGGGCCACCAAGGCUUUGGCUUCCGCUCCUCCUGUGUCACCCACCUUCCCCAGAAGUGACCGGCAAUUGGGACUGAUAGGACAGAAGAAAAACAAAUGUCUCACCGGAGAUCCAGCCGGCCACAAACUCCUCCACGGGCAUUGUCUAGCAGGGGCAGGUGCUGGUGGCUCCAGCAGAAGAGACGCAGGUGAAAGUGUAAUUGCACCCUCCCCGGCCCCCAGACUGAUAAUCCGCCAC